rnacentral:hammerhead_ribozyme from 1 species
GCACUACUGAGGAGUCCCAUACUAGGGCGAUACGGCCGUCCAGUGC